AUUGAACGCUGGCGGCAGGCUUAACACAUGCAAGUCGAGCGGAGCGAGGGUGCUUGCACCUUAGCUUAGCGGCGGACGGGUGAGUAAUGCUUAGGAAUCUGCCUAUUAGUGGGGGACAACAUUCCGAAAGGGAUGCUAAUACCGCAUACGCCCUACGGGGGAAAGCAGGGGAUCUUCGGACCUUGCGCUAAUAGAUGAGCCUAAGUCGGAUUAGCUAGUUGGUGGGGUAAAGGCCUACCAAGGCGACGAUCUGUAGCGGGUCUGAGAGGAUGAUCCGCCACACUGGGACUGAGACACGGCCCAGACUCCUACGGGAGGCAGCAGUGGGGAAUAUUGGACAAUGGGGGGAACCCUGAUCCAGCCAUGCCGCGUGUGUGAAGAAGGCCCUUUUGGUUGUAAAGCACUUUAAGCGAGGAGGAGGCGCCCUUGGUUAAUACCUAAAG
rnacentral:rRNA from 1 species